rnacentral:rRNA from 1 species
UGGGGAAUAUUGCGCAAUGGGCGGAAGCCUGACGCAGCGACGCCGCGUGGGGGAUGACGGCCUUCGGGUUGUAAACCUCUUCGACCUUGACGAAGGCCUUGUUGCAGUGAUGUGGCGGGGUUGACGGUAGGGGUAGAAGAAGCACCGGCCAACUACGUGCCAGCAGCCGCGGUAAUACGUAGGGUGCGAGCGUUGUCCGGAAUUAUUGGGCGUAAAGAGCUCGUAGGCGGUCUGUCACGUCGGUCGUGAAAACUUGGGGCUUAACCCUGAGCUUGCGGUCGAUACGGGCAUGACUGGAGUUCGGCAGGGGGACGUGGAAUUCCUGGUGUAGCGGUGAAAUGCGCAGAUAUCAGGAGGAACACCGGUGGCGAAGGCGGGUCUCUGGGCCGAUACUGACGCUGAGGAGCGAAAGCGUGGGGAGCGAACAGGAUUAGAUACC